GGGGAGAACGGGGGUGGUCCCCCCUAUGGGCUGCAAACCCAUGAGCCAGUCUGCGAUCCAGGUUGGAGUCCGGUUCAAUUCCGACUUCUCCCC
rnacentral:tRNA from 1 species